GUUGAACGCUGGCGGCAGGCCUAACACAUGCAAGUCGAGCGAGCGGCGGACGGGUGAGUACUGUAUGGGGACUGCCCGAUAGCGGGGUAUCACUACUGAAAACGGUGGCUAAUCCCGCAUACUAUCGGAUAGCCCAUAUGGGAUUAGCUAGUAGGUGGGGUAAAGGAUCACCUAGGCGACGAUCUCUAGCUGGUCUGAGAGUAUGAUAAGCCACACGUGGACUGAGACACGGCCCAGACUCGUACGGAGGCAGUAGUGGGGAAUAUUGCACAAUGGGCGCAAGCCUGAUGCAGCCAUGCCGCGUGGAUGAAGAAGGCCGUAGGGUUGUAAAGUACUUUCAGCGGGGAGGCGUUGCCCGCAGAAGAAGUACCGGCUAACUACGUGCCAGCAGCCGCGGUAAUUC
rnacentral:rRNA from 1 species